UCUGUAUAAAAGGCGCUGACAUUUCUGUAUUUUAUUUUGUAAUGUUGGUUUAGAGAGUAUCCUAGGAAGUGACGUAAGUCGGAGUUUAGUGCUGUGCUCUGCUCAUGGGAGCAAUUUAAUAUACUUCCGGGUCAGUUUGCUGCGUUCUCAGCAUGUGAGACCGCAUUCAUGUUGUAGUGUUGAGAAGUGAUGCUCCGAGUGUUAAGUUGAUGACGGAAAACUGCUGGCAACACUGAGCAUCACUACGAAUAAACCAGUUCGCAUCUAAGUCAA